GCCGGUGUAGCUUAAUGGUAAAGCAGAGCACUCAUAAAGCUCAGAAGAAGGUUCAAUUCCUUCCAUCGGUACAA
rnacentral:tRNA from 1 species